CUACGGGCCGCACCAGUGGGGAAUUUUGGACAAUGGGCGCAAGCCUGAUCCAUCAAUGCCGCGUGCAGGAUGAAGGCCUUCGGGUUGUAAACUGCUUUUGUACGGAGCGAAAAGGCUUCCACUAAUACUGGGGGCUCAUGACGGUACCGUAAGAAUAAGCACCGGCUAACUAUGUGCCAGCAGCCGCGGUAAUACGUAGGGUGCGAGCGUUAAUCGGAAUUACUGGGCGUAAAGCGUGCGCAGGCGGUCUUGUAAGACAGGUGUGAAAUCCCCGGGCUUAACCUGGGAACUGCACUUGUGACUGCAAGGCUGGAGUACGGCAGAGGGGGAUGGAAUUCCGCGUGUAGCAGUGAAAUGCGUAGAUAUGCGGAGGAACACCGAUGGCGAAGGCAAUCCCCUGGGCCUGUACUGACGCUCAUGCACGAAAGCGUGGGGAGCAAACAGGAUUAGAUACCCCCGUAGUC
rnacentral:rRNA from 1 species